CAGGACACACCCGGGUGCGUGCAAAACAAAGACCACAGCUCAUUCACGCAAGAAAUCAGAAUCGAAUCAAUGCCUGAUGUGGAUGUUUGGAUACUUCACAGUAUUCGGGCUUUUACGUUUUCUUAAACUUGAAGACUAACGUUAUUUACCUGCGCCUUCAGUUGCUCCUCGUGAUCAGUUGAGAACUGGAUCCUGCAAUGUUCUGGGACAUCCAUCCUAUCCACAAUCUCGCUCAUCUUCUUCCUCAGGACAUCGCACUCAUCUGGGUCCAGAAACCCGUCCAGUACGAGCAACCACAUAUCACAGCUCAACAAAGCAGAAUGAUGCAAUCAGACACAAGCUGAGAAAAAUGAGUAGCUGGAAAAAUAAAGGAGCCUGGGACAUGGCUCAGCACAGCAUUUUUUUUAGAAAGCAGCCCUCUCUUUGGUUUCCUGUGACGCAAGAGGAGAG